UAAAGGAAGCGAUUCCGGCUACGGAUGGUCAUGCGUCGCAUUAGCUAGUUGGCGGGGUAACGGCCCACCAAGGCGACGAUGCGUAGGGGUUCUGAGAGGAAGGUCCCCCACACUGGUACUGAGACACGGACCAGACUCCUACGGGAGGCAGCAGUGAGGAAUAUUGGUCAAUGGCCGCAGGGCUGAACCAGCCAAGUCGCGUGAGGGAUGACGGUCCUAUGGAUUGUAAACCUCUUUUGUCAGGGAGCAAAGGGCGCCACGUGUGGCGCUUUGCGAGUACCUGAAGAAAAAGCAUCGGCUAACUCCGUGCCAGCAGCCGCGGUAAUACGGAGGAUGCGAGCGUUAUCUGGAUUUAUUGGGUUUAAAGGGUGCGCAGGCGGAAUGUCAAGUCAGCGGUAAAAUUUCGGGGCUCAACCCCGUCGUGCCGUUGAAACUGGCGUUCUUGAGUGAGCGAGAAGUAUGCGGAAUGCGUGGUGUAGCGGUGAAAUGCAUAGAUAUCACGCAGAACUCCGAUUGCGAAGGCAGCAUACCGGCGCUCAACUGACGCUCAUGCACGAAAGCGUGGGUAUCGAACAGGAUUAGAUACCCUGGUAGUCCACGCAGUAAACGAUGAAUACUAACUGUCCGGGCAGAAUGAUGCCUGG
rnacentral:rRNA from 1 species